rnacentral:misc_RNA from 1 species
UCCGAGUUGUCCCCGGCAGUCCUCUUAGAGUCCCCAGCAUUACCUGAUGGCAACUAAGAGCAGGGGUUGCGCUCGUUGCGGCACUUAAGCCAACACCUCACGGCACGAGCUGACGACAACCAUGCACCACCUGUGAAGAUCCAGCCGAACUGACCCCGUGUUUCCACGGCGGUCACCCACAUGUCAAGCCCAGGUAAGGUUCUUCGCGUCGCGUCGAAUUAAACCACAUGCUCCGCUGCUUGUGCGGGCCCCCGUCAAUUCCUUUGAGUUUUAGCCUUGCGGCCGUACUCCCCAGGCGGGGCACUUAAUGCGUUAGCUCCGGCACGGGGGGAGUCGACACCCCCCACACCUAGUGCCCAUCGUUUACAGCGUGGACUAC